CAUAUACUCCCUCCGUCCGAAAAUACUUGUCCUAAAAAUGAAUAAAAUGGAUGUAUCUAUAACUAAAAUAAGUCUAGAUACAUGCAUUUCUAAGACAAGUAUUUCCGGA
rnacentral:pre_miRNA from 1 species